rnacentral:lncRNA from 1 species
GGGGAAGGCUGAGACAUGUCUGGCUCCAGUCAAUUAACGACCUCAUCUCCACUGACUUAUUUGUCUGAAACAUGUUCAAAAAGUAAAGCAAAUAGAAAAGAGGAGAAGUCUUGGAGGAAGAAGGAAAGCAGACACAGGAUAUUUAUUAGGAUAAAUGUUUAAAGAUAACGCCACUGAGGAAGAGGCAGGCUAAAGCUUGCUCCAUGCCAAGCAAUCUGGGUAGCAGACUGGGAUUGGAUCCCAGUAUUGUAUAAAGAAGAAGCAUUAAAAGCU